UAUAUAUGCCGAAUGUUUUUGGAAGUGGGACCCCAUAAACUGGAGGCCCCAUUCAAAUGUUUUAAAAUACUACAUACAAGCUCGACUCUGGACUUGAGUUGCGUAAGACCGCAAACUAAGGUGUGUUUGAUCUGUGUUUGAUUGAUCUGCACCCGACUAGCACAUGAUGUGUAUAUCUAACUGAGCAGUACUGCAUUACCCGACAGAGGCAUAUAUACUGAAGACAUCAUUGAUCCCACUAUAUUGCAAACUAGAACCUUCAUAUUCCAAACAAAGGAUAACUAAAAGAAAGUAAUGGAUUGGGUCGAGGUACCGGUCUAGGCUAAAAUGACUAGUUGGUUUUUAUUUUUUAAUGUGUGAGGCCAUUGAACGUUAUUUUUUAAUCAUGCUACCUUUUCGUAUGUUUUAGAAGAUGAAGACAAAUUAUGUGAAUACCGGAAAAGAAAGGAAAUAAAAUAAAAAUAAAUCACAAAAAAUAAUAGUAUAUUGUAUUUUUAGCGAGAAACUGUAUCUAUGGAAAGAGAAAAAUAAAUUAGAUGAAGAGAAUACUUUUACCUUACAUAUAAAAAAGGAAAAAAAUAAAAUAGACGAAGAUAAUAUUAUCAUUUUUACCCAGACAUAUUUUUUACAUAGAGAUUAAUUAAACAUCUCAAUGUUUUAUAUCAAACUGUAACAAAAUGAUCUUUGAAUUUUUUUUGAUUAAAUUUUAUAGCUCAAUUUUUGACUCCCAACAAUUACAGUACACAAUUUUUCAAACUACCAUAAGAUAGCAAUUUUUUUACAAUAUUAAAAAUAAUUAGUUUACGCAUAUGACAUUUACCAUUAUAUUUAUUUAUAGAAACAUAAGUGAACGAGUCUAAAGCUUUCACGUAUUAGAUGAGCAAGAAAAAUGGAAAUUUUUCAAAAUUAGAUUCGGUUAAAGCGGAACAUAAUAAAGUGAAUUGCUUAAAUUAGCUAUUUUAGCUAUAUAUAUAUAUUCAUGUUACCAAAACAGAAAAAUACAUCACCUUUCCUUUUAGAGUUUAAAAUCAUUAUCAAUUCACUUCUGUCAUAUAUGAUGAAGAAAACCCCUCAACUCUCGUUUACAGUCUUUACUAUCUUCAUCAUUCUUGUGUUAGGAACGAUGGCAAAUGCAAAAGAAAAGGGCAAAUUGUGUGAUCAA